rnacentral:snoRNA from 1 species
CUGGGGACUUAAAACAGUAUAAAUAUUUGUGUGCAAUGGCUGCAAACAGCACCCUCCUCGGUAGUGUAUACAACCUGUUGCUUGUAUGGGUUGCUCUAAGGGACCUUGUAGACAGUC